rnacentral:rRNA from 1 species
ACUGCUCAGUAACACGUGGAUAACCUGCCCUUGGGUCCGGCAUAACCCCGGGAAACUGGGGAUAAUUCCGGAUAACGCACAUAUGCUGGAAUGCUUUAUGCGUAAAAUGGAUUCGUCUGCCCAAGGAUGGGUCUGCGGCUUAUCAGGUAGUAGUGGGUGUAAUGUACCUACUAGCCAACAACGGGUACGGGUUGUGAGAGCAAGAGCCCGGAGAUGGAUUCUGAGACAUGAAUCCAGGCCCUACGGGGCGCAGCAGGCGCGAAAACUUUACAAUGCGGGAAACCGUGAUAAGGGGACACCGAGUGCUAGCAUCAUAUGCUGGCUGUCCAGGUGUGUAAAAUACACCUGUUAGCAAGGGCCGGGCAAGACCGGUGCCAGCCGCCGCGGUAACACCGGCGGCCCGAGUGGUGAUCGUGAUUAUUGGGUCUAAAGGGUCCGUAGCCGGUUUGGUCAGCCCUCCGGGAAAUCUGACGGCUUAACCGUUAGGCUUUCGGGGGAUACUGCCAGGCUUGGAACCGGGAGAGGUAAGAGGUACUACAGGGGUAGGAGUGAAAUCUUGUAAUCCCUGUGGGACCACCUGUGGCGAAGGCGUCUUACCAGAACGGGUUCGACGGUGAGGGACGAAAGCUGGGGGCACGAACCGGAUUAGAUACCCGGGUAGUCCCAGCCGUAAACGAUGCUCGCUAGGUGUCAGGCAUGGCGCGACCGUGUCUGGUGCCGCAGGGAAGCCGUGAAGCGAGCCACCUGGGAAGUACGGCCGCAAGGCUGAAACUUAAAGGAAUUGGCGGGGGAGCAC